CCUGAGACUCACAUUUUCUAAUUGCAGAAAUUAUGUCUUGCAGCAGAGAGGACACAAGUGCCCAGCCAUCCCAAGCUUUUGGCAGACCUGGCAUUGGUUGCAGCAAAGUGGCUGUGUUUCCUCAGACAUGUGGCUUGCCAGUGUAUUAGAGAGGAGCUACACAAGGAGAAGGAUUUUCUCAGAGUAGUGGACUCAAAGCCAGAGUGACCGGUGUGCUUCACUCCAGCUCAGAAGGGGAUGAGUCAGGAACAGGCUGCCCUGUGUGGAAUUGCAGCAGAUUUUCUUCACCACCCGCCCUGUGGAGGUGCCAGCCGUGCUGGGGGCAGCACCUGAGCUGCACUGGUGGUGCACGAAGAAUAUGAAGAAAUACAGUGACCACCAGCAGCAGAAAGGAUUUGAGCAUUGGAUUACAAACUGCAGCUGGCAACAAUGGGAUGGGGACUGGUGCAGGUGGACAGAAAAUCCUCCUCUGUUAUGCAAAGCAAUGGAUUUCAGCCUGGGCUGAACAGGCUGUCAAAAUCGUUGAAGCAUCAGGACCUGGAGCUGUGUAAAGCAGAGAGGAAAUGUGAAGAGCAGCGUAGAUGAGAGGCAAGACAGAGCACUGUGCCCCAGCAGAAUUCAUCUGGCUUCAUCUGUCUCCCCCAGAUCAGUAAUUUAGGCAACAGAGCCUGCUCCAUCGCUGUGAAAGCCAGUAUAAAUAGGCCCUUUUAAGCCUUCUCUGGUGAGCUUCUGACAGAGCAGCAGUGAGGGUUUGCUGCCUUACAAGUUCUCAGGCCUCCAAAGGGAUGGAAGAGGGCAGAGCAAGCACAACUGAAGGCAUUUAUGUGGGGGUUUCUGGCAGGGAUUUUCUGGGCACAUCACUCUGAGGGAGCACAGAGGUCACCAAGCUACUUGGAGGAGAAUGGAUGAAGAAUGUUUAUUCAGCAUCUUGACAUUAAGCUAUGUGGCAAAGACUCAAGAAGCUUCUUGGCCAAGUCCAGCAUCACUGUAGAAUCUGUGUUUGCUUGCAUGGCCUUAAUGUGAACUUUGUGAAGUGCUUCAGCCUUGUCUUCGAGGCAGUCACUGUGCACGAGGGACAGAGCAUGGAUCAGUGUGGGGCUGGACCCUGUUCCCUGCACAAGCUGUCAGGAGAGCAUCAGCUACAGCUCCACGCUCCCCUCCACUGUGGCUGGCUCCUGCACGUGCUCAGCUUAGGAAAAUGUUUCUUCUUGCUGGGAUGACAAUAAACAGAGCACUGCUAGAGCCAUGUGGUGAUGCAUGCCUGCGUGUCCACUCAGUGCUGGACAAGCAUGACACAAUUUCUUUCAUCCUGAUAUCAUCUUUCUGGCUAAGCAGCAGCCCAUGUUUAGUGGAAUGUCAGGAUGACUAAUUCUGCUGGGGACUUCCAAGCACAAGCUCACUGUAAACCACAGCACCUUGACAGAAGAAAGGAAAGAAGAGCUGACUUUUGUGCUCGGGGGCACAGACACUGUCACAGGUACCUGUCAGAAGCACAGAGAGCUGGAGGAAAGAAAAUGUAGUUUCUGCCAUAAGCCUGAAGCAAUCCUAUACUGCUCAAAUCCUGUUUUUUUUCUGCUUGGUUAUUGAACCAGUUAUUGAGCUGCACCUACCUUGUAAACCUCCUUCUGCUUUGCUACAUGAUUUGCCUUUUCACUCUCCCUGUGAUAACACUGAAGAUGGUGGGCAGCACUUCCCAGUCCAUAUGUGCAACUCCCUCUCCUUGCUGUUUCAUUUUUAGACCCUCAGGAAGGUCACCAGGGUCUCUCACAUCCCCACGUGUCCCCACUGUGGGCUUCCCACUUCACUCCACCUGCCUCCAACCUCUGCUCUCUUUACUCAGAAAGGUGCUGUGGGGCUGGAAGCCAGCAGGGAGUGGUGAGGGUUCAGCAGGGUGAUGAUGCAGCCCUAACAUUUCUCCCUUUGGUUCUUGCCUCAGAUUUUGGCUACUCCU